AUGGGUCCCAAAAAGGGUGUUAAAGCUCCAGUUGCAGCUUCCAAGAAGAAGCCAGUUACAAAUCCUCUUUUCGAGAAACGCCCUAAGCAAUUUGGAAUUGGUGGUGAAUUGCCUCCUAAGAGGGAUUUGACUAGAUUCGUCAAGUGGCCAAAGAAUGUUCAGGUUCAGAGGAAGAAGAGAAUUCUCAAGCAGAGGUUGAAGGUCCCCCCAGCUUUGAACCAGUUCACUAAAACUCUUGACAAAAACCUAGGUUUGAAAUAA